GAGUCCUACGGGGGGCAGCAGUGGGGAAUAUUGCACAAUGGGGGAAACCCUGAUGCAGCAACGCCGCGUGAGUGAAGAAGUAUUUCGGUAUGUAAAGCUCUAUCAGCAGGGAAGAGAAUGGCGGUACCUGACUAAGAAGCCCCGGCUAACUACGCGCCAGCAGCCGCGGUAAUACGUAGGGGGCAAGCGUUAUCCGGAUUUACUGGGUGUAAAGGGGGCGCAGACGGCGAUGCAAGCCAG
rnacentral:rRNA from 1 species